UAUACCUCCUAAUGCUGGGGUUAAAGGCUUGUGAUCCCAGGUGCUGGAAUCAAAAGGUUUCAGAUUGUGGCAUCUCCGGAUUCCAUUUCAGAAGAGAUACACACUCUAAAUUACUUCUGUCAGCAAUAGGACAUAUCCUUCGUGAAAUAUGUAAGUCGAACCACUGCUGAUCCAAGGGUGAGCUUCCAGCUUCAGAGGUGGAGUUCUUCCAUUAUAUCAUUCCCAAGGGCAGGCAGAAGCUGAAAAUGUACACGCUGUUAAUGGAACAAAUUUGAUAAAGGAGACCUUGCUGCUAGAACAAAUGCAUAGACCAUGACUACUUUUCACUACAAGCUCAUUGAGAAAACAAAAGUAUUUGUGAUGCCCUGUGCUGGGCCUGGAGAGAUUGCUCAGUGGUUAAGAGCAUUUGGCUCUUCUUUUAGAGGACCUCAGUGUGGUUCCCUGCACCUACAUGGGUUGGCUGACAACUGCCUGUAACUCUAGCUCCAGGGAUCUGAUGCCCUCUUCUGGGUUCCAGUCAUUUGCAUUUGCACUCAAGGAAUACCUCCUCUGCCCCUGCCUGCCUAUAAUUUAGAAUGAGACAUGCUGACAUGCUAUGCACACACAUGUCCUUGCAGAAGGUCAAGUGCUCUGCUCUCCAUUAGCUAACCUUGACCACGUAUGGGGCAGAUUUAGACGGGAACUGUUCAUCCUGGACAUUAUGCAGAAUGUCUUCAAGUCAGCAUACUAAUGUCAGAACUUCUCAUGGACUUUCCUGUCUCCCAAUCUCAGGGAGGACACAUGGGUUAAAGAAUAGAAAUGUAAUCUAAUCAGUUUGCAAAAGCUGAAUGACAAGGGUGAGAACUUUUCAGAAGAGUUAGGGAACUUUGUGUGGUAGACGUGUAAGCAAAAACUUGUGGAAGGAAGCUCUGCCUGUGGCUGUGAAUGAUGAGUGACUGACAGCAGAGAGUGACCAGCUCAUUGGGACCUCAGUACUGUGGAGAGACGAAUGCUGUGGGGCCAGAGGCUAGGACAGCGGCCGUUCCUCCCCACUAUUGAACUAACAUCUUGCCGCAGUAGAUUAAACCAACAAUCAUAGAUGAUACUGACUUAGCUUUCUGGGUUGGUAGAAGCUAGUUUACCGCUAAGAAGUCAUCAGAUAGCUUGUAGGACAGGUCCCACACCACAGCACCUGCCUCUGAUGUUCCUACCAAUAUAUUUUAAACUUGCCUUGAGUUACGAUUUUCUUUGUUCUGUAAGACUGCAUUUAAAAGCUUCGUGAAACUGCUUCCAAGAUGGAACAUUGAAUUCGGGGAACCUGAGUCUGUUCCUGGGCCAUGGUCACUCAAAAUGGAACUAGUGAUCUUAUGCAUGUGGCUGGAACUGAAGCUUCUUUCCUUUGGAGUUGGCUAAACUAUCUCAGCUGUGAGAAAGCCUAAAGCUAAGACUUUAACAAAUUUGAUGGGACACAUGAUUCAUCUGAUUUUUUACUAUGUUUUUUAAAAUCUCACCUAUAAA